rnacentral:rRNA from 1 species
GGGGAAUAUUGGACAAUGGGCGAAAGCCUGAUCCAGCAAUGCCGCGUGAGUGAUGAAGGCCUUAGGGUUGUAAAGCUCUUUUACCCGGGAUGAUAAUGACAGUACCGGGAGAAUAAGCCCCGGCUAACUCCGUGCCAGCAGCCGCGGUAAUACGGAGGGGGCUAGCGUUGUUCGGAAUUACUGGGCGUAAAGCGCGCGUAGGCGGUCUGCGGCGUGGCAGGUGACAGGGUUUGGCUUAACUGAACCGGAGCCUGGCAAACGGGCAGACUUGAGGCUUUCAGAGGGACACGGAAUUCCGGGUGGAGCGGUGAAAUGCGUAGAGAUCCGGAGGAACACCGAAGGCGCAGGCAGUGUCCUGGGGAAGUACUGACGCUCAGGUGCGAAAGCUAGGGGAGCGAA